GGCUGAUGGGGAUAGCUCAGCCAGUAGAACCAGAGACUCUCAAUCUCAGUGUUAUGGGUUCGAGCCCCAUGCUGGACA